UCUCUUCCUGAUUGGAUUGUGGCCAGAAUAGCCGCCAUCUUUGGAGCAUGAGAAGGGACACUGAAUGCUAGUCUGGCAAGCCAAAAUAUGAAAGCAAUCUAGAUCCUUGAUGGGUCCCAGCAAACACUGCACACCUCUGAACUGGGCAUCUUGAGACAAUGUUCUGCCUACACAAAAUUCUAAACUGAGAGGAGUGGCUCAGAAGCUCUACUAACAUGGAAUCACAUGUGAUUCAAGAGAGUGCCAAAGGAAACAACAGGACAGAAGGAGACAUGAGGAAGAGAUGGGACAGACAGCACUCAACCCUGAGCAGACGUGAGGGGCAAAAGAAAAGGCAACAUUAAGGACCCAUUCAAGUUUCAAGUCUCAGCGUCCCAGAGGAUGGUGAGGAUACAGCAAAAAUGGAGAGUGCAAAAGGAGAAAGGCAGUUGAAUGUGAAGAUAACGGGGUCUUCGGAGCCUACCUACUAAGUCUGGUGGGAUAACCCUGUUAAAUGGGAAGAGGGAGGCCUUUCUUGGUACAUUUUAGGAGGAAAAAAAUGGCUGCCUGGAAAGUUCAUAUACCAGCAGCAAAAAGAAAAGCAGAAUGGGAUGAGAGAUUAUGAAAGCCCUUCACGAGGAGGUUAAGUUCUGGCGGGUGUGCCCAUCAGAGACCAGCAGAGACAACUGGCUCUCCGGCCUGAGUUCGCCUACAUCAGAACUAGCACAUCUCUCUGUCUAAUUUCUAAUCACUGUAAAUAUGUUCAAAAUGAAAGAAAAAAGUAAUCUCACACCCCAAUAAACUGGAUCAGAUGUGUGUGCUUCAGUGGGUAGUGGUAAAUCUACAUAUGGAAAACUGUAUUCAGAAACGCCUGACUAUAGCACUUAAAUUCUAUGGCACACAUGGAAUGAAUUGAGAAGAUAGCCAAACUUACAAAUAUUCCACCCACACUGUGUAAUAUGGCAUCCUGAUGCGUUCGGGAAAGUGAAGAACAAUGUGGUGGGACACCCCCUCCACGGCUAAACGUGGACACCUUGAGCAUGG
rnacentral:lncRNA from 1 species